rfam:Felis catus isolate Cinnamon breed Abyssinian chromosome E1, whole genome shotgun sequence.
GCCUGGGUGGCUCAGUCGGUUAAGUGCCAGACUUCAGCUCAGGUCAUGAUCUCACGGGUUGUGGGUUCGAGCCCCACAUCAGGCU